GUUUACCGCCAUGCCACCCUGAACAUGCCCGAUCUCUUCUGAUCUCGGAAGCUAAGCAAGAUGGGAGACCACCUAGGAAUACCAGGUGCAGUAAACG
rnacentral:rRNA from 1 species